rnacentral:rRNA from 1 species
GACGAACGCUGGCGGCGUGCUUAACACAUGCAAGUCGAACGAAGAGCGAUGGAAGCUUGCUUCUAUCAAUCUUAGUGGCGAACGGGUGAGUAACGCGUAAUCAACCUGCCCUUCAGAGGGGGACAACAGUUGGAAACGACUGCUAAUACCGCAUACGAUCUAAUCUCGGCAUCGAGGAUAGAUGAAAGGUGGCCUCUACAUGUAAGCUAUCACUGAAGGAGGGGAUUGCGUCUGAUUAGCUAGUUGGAGGGGUAACGGCCCACCAAGGCGAUGAUCAGUAGCCGGUCUGAGAGGAUGAACGGCCACAUUGGGACUGAGACACGGCCCAGACCCCUACGGGAGGCAGCAGUGGGGAAUCUUCCGCAAUGGACGAAAGUCUGACGGAGCAACGCCGCGUGAGUGAUGACGGCCUUCGGGUUGUAAAGCUCUGUUAAUCGGGACGAAAGGCCUUCUUGCGAAUAGUGAGAAGGGUUGACGGUACCGGAAGAGAAAGCCACGGCUAACUACGUG